UAUUUAAAUACAAGUAAGAGAUUUGUAGGAACGUAUAGCUAAAAUACAACACGAUGAAGUGAGCCUGUAUGUUUCUGAUUGUUGCUUUGGUGGCUUUGACAGUAAUAGAGCAGAGUGAUGCAAGCUAUGGACGGCGAUAUCCUACCCCCUGGCCUUUGAGAUGCUGUGUAUGUUUUAGGGCCCCCUGUCCCUGUCUUCCCCUUGACCACCCUAUUUGUAGGUGGCAGGACUGAUAUUGAGCACUAAGGGACACCGGAAUGAAGACAAUAUAGGGGACGUUCUCUAAAAUGAAAUGAUUAAAAACUCUACGAUUUGUUUGUAUUUCUUAAACCCACAAAUGAUUUUUACUAGACAAUAAAUUCCCUAUGCUUAUU